rnacentral:lncRNA from 1 species
UAGGAAUUCACCUAUUCUGGACCUUUCAUAUAAAUGGAAUCAUACAUAUGUGGUCUUCUGUGACUGGCUUUCUUCACCUAGGAAGUCUGGUCUGUCCUGAGCAGCCUAAGGAGAGACUCGUGGUGAAGAAGGAAGGUCGGCUAACAGUCACAUUAGUGAGCUUCAAAGCACGUACUUAGUCAAGUCUUCAGAGACUGUGGCUCUGGUCAACAGUUUGACUGCAAAUUCGUGAGAGACCUUGAGUCAGAACCACACAGCUAAGAUGCUUCUGGUUUCCUCACCCUCAGAAAAUAUGUGAGAUAAUAAACGUUUGUUGUUUUAAGAUGCUAGA